AGAGCAGUAGCUCAGUGGUAGAGCUCCCUCCUCCUAUGCGGGAAGACCUAGGUUCGAUUCCCGCCUGCCUCC
rnacentral:tRNA from 1 species